rnacentral:sRNA from 1 species
UUUCGGCUUAGGGAUAGAAGCGAAAAUCCUUUUGCAAAGCAAAAGAUUGCAGCGCAUAGCCCGGCCAGGC